AUUGAACGCUGGCGGCAUGCCUUACACAUGCAAGUCGAACGGCAGCACGGGAGCAAUCCUGGUGGCGAGUGGCGAACGGGUGAGUAAUAUAUCGGAACGUGCCCGGUCGUGGGGGAUAACGUAGCGAAAGCUACGCUAAUACCGCAUACGAUCUACGGAUGAAAGCGGGGGAUCGCAAGACCUCGCGCGAUUGGAGCGGCCGAUAUCAGAUUAGGUAGUUGGUGAGGUAAAGGCUCACCAAGCCGACGAUCUGUAGCUGGUCUGAGAGGACGACCAGCCACACUGGGACUGAGACACGGCCCAGACUCCUACGGAGGCAGCA
rnacentral:rRNA from 1 species